rnacentral:rRNA from 1 species
UUGAUCCUGGCUCAGAAUCAACGCUGGCGGCGUGCCUAACACAUGCAAGUCGAACGCGAAAACCCCGCAAGGGGUUAGUAGAGUGGCGAACGGGUGAGUUACACGUGGGUGACCUACCUUCGAAUGGGGGAUAACGUCCCGAAAGGGACUCUAAUACCGCAUAACAUCCUGCCUUUGAACAGGUGGAGAUCAAAGCCGGUGAUCGCAAGACCUGGCGUUUGAAGAGGGGCCCGCGUCUGAUUAGCUAGUUGGUGAGGUAACGGCUCACCAAGGCGACGAUCAGUAUCCGGCCUGAGAGGUCGGACGGACACACUGGGACUGAGACACGGCCCAGACUCCUACGGGAGGCUGCAGUGGGGAAUUGUUCGCAAUGGGCGCAAGCCUGACGACGCAACGCCGUGUGGAGGAUGAAGGUCUUCGGAUUGUAAACUCCUGUUGCCCGGGACGAAUCGUUUCGACCUAACACGUCGAGACCUGACGGUACCGGGUGAGGAAGCCCUGGCUAACUCUGUGCCAGCAGCCGCGGUAAUAAGGU